GGCUAUAAGGCAUAGUGGUUGGAGCACUGGACUAUGACUUUGGAGAACAGGGUUCAAUUCCCUCUUGGUCA